UGGGUGUGUUCCCGAGUAGCACGGGGCCCGUGAAAUCCCGUGUGAAUCUGCCACGACCACGUGGUAAGGCUGAAUACUUCCUGAUGACCGAUAGCGGACCAGUACCGUGAGGGAAAGGUGAAAAGUGCCCCGGUGAGGGGUCGUGAAAUAGUACCUGAAACCGUGUGCCUACAAGCCGUCAGAGCGUCCUCACAGGUUUCGGCCUGUGUUCGUGAUGGCGUGCCUUUUGAAGAAUGAGCCUGCGAGUUAUGGUGUGUGGCGAGGUUAACCGGUGGCGGGUAGCCGUAGCGAAAGCGAGUCUGAAUAGGGCGUUUGAGUCGCAUGCUGUAGACCCGAAGCGGGGUGAUCUAGCCAUGGGCAGGGUGAAGCGCCGGUAAGACGGUGUGGAGGCCCGAACCCACCAGGGUUGAAAACCUGGGGGAUGACCUGUGGUUAGGGGUGAAAGGCCAAUCAAACUCCGUGAUAGCUGGUUCUCCCCGAAAUGCAUUUAGGUGCAGCGUCGCGUGUUUCUUGCCGGAGGUAGAGCUACUGGAUGGCUGAUGGGCCCUACAAGGUUACUGACGUCAGCCAAACUCCGAAUGCCGGUAAGUGAGAGCGUGGCAGUGAGACUGCGGGGGAUAAGCUUCGUAGUCGAGAGGGAAACAGCCCAGAUCAUCGGCUAAGGCCCCUAAGCGUGUGCUAAGUGGGAAAGGAUGUGGAGUUGCCGUGACAACCAGGAGGUUGGCUUAGAAGCAGCCAUCCUUGAAAGAGUGCGUAAUAGCUCACUGGUCAAGUGAUUCCGCGCCGACAAUGUAGCGGGGCUCAAGCACACCGCCGAAGCCGUGGCAUUGACACGUAUGUGUUGAUGGGUAGGGGAGCGUCCUGUAGCCGGUGAAGCCGCCGAGUGAUCGAGUGGUGGAGGCUGCGGGAGUGAGAAUGCAGGCAUGAGUAGCGAGUCACACGUGAGAAACGUGUGCGCCGGAUGACCAAGGGUUCCUGGGGCAGGCUAAUCCGCCCAGGGUAAGUCGGGACCUAAGGCGAGGCCGACAGGCGUAGUCGAUGGACAACGGGUUGAUAUUCCCGUACCCGCUGGUAUGCGCCAACGCUGAACCCUCUGAUGCUAA
rnacentral:rRNA from 1 species